AAAGGGAGAAGAAGAAGAAAAAGAGAGAGAGAGAGAGAGAGAGAGAGAGAGAGAGAGAGAGAAAGAGAGAGCUUUGAUAAUGUCUAACAGAUCAAAAUAUCUUAAGUGUAUGACAUGUUUGUGUUUUCUCUUCAGAUGUAGCGAAUAUUUCGUAAAGAGUGCGUUAGUUAUCUUAUUUCGUAAAAAAAAAUUUUGAAAUCAGAAGCUACGGGGCUUCUUGAAAAUCAUAACUAUUGCGGAUACCACCAAAAGAGAAGCAAUGUGGUGAAGAAUAUAGAGCGAGAAAGAAAAAUAUCAACAUAUUUCUUCGUGAGAUCUAGAAGAAAGAAACCACGCCAUAAUAUUGAACACGAAAUCUGCGAACAAUAAUGAUCGAGGAAGACAUAAAAAGGCGAAGAGAAGAGAAGAAUUACGGGUUGACUUAAAUGAAUAUAUGUCACUAACAUUAAGACGGAAAACAAGAGAAAAAAGAAUGAAAAUUAUGAAUAAUGUCCCCACUUUCUUCCCUUUAUUAAGCGUCAAUAUCACGAGAUAUUAAGGAUACUUUAAACUGAGUUUUUUUAUCUGAUGUUGUAAAAUGAGAGAUUAUAUGAAAAUUUUAGUGAAAAAAAUCAUUCGUAUUAUUUUUGUUUAAUGUGCACACUUUACUUCUUCCAUUGCUUUACUGUAUUCAUAUCGAUACAUGUACUCUUGAGUGCAUACCUCACUGUAGCAUAUACACGUCGCGAUAAUCCGUACAAAUAACCGUAUUGUAAAACAAUUUAAUCGGACAUUCAUGCCUUUACAUAUCCGCCGAUCUUUUUCUCUUUCGGACAACCCCCUUUUCAUCUGUCGAAAUACGUACCGAUAUACGUUUAUUUCUAACCCGAUAGCCGGAACUGAUAGAAAGGUUUCGCCAGCUGUUCGUCAUGCAGAACUGUUACAGUUGCUUUCACCAGCUUUUCUCAUCCGAUGUCGAAGCGUGAAUUUUCACAUUGUGGAAGAAUAUCCGCAUAUUUCUGUUUAUACAAAUAAAACCUCAUUGAUUCUAAUUUCACUUAUUACAAUUCCAAUGUAGGGAAAAUAAUCUAAAGUAAUUACAUUCCUAAUUCGAGAAAUGUGUAUUAUGAGAAUCUGCAUAUUACGUAAGAGAAUAUCAAUUGUUGAUCCCUUUAAAUAUAUUUACGUGAGAGAUGUUUAUCUUAUAAACAACUGACAAUGAGCUAAACGCUAUAUGUAUUUCACGAAAUGGAAAUGCGAGAUAUCAGUGAUAUAUCCCAUAGGAGGAAAGUAUAAUAAAUAUUUGAACAGCUAUAGUAUUUUUCCGAACCGCUAUGCGAUGACUCACACUUAAGUAUUCCAUUGUGCAGAGAGUUCUGCAAGCAUUGCCCUGCAUAGCAGGCGUUUCCAAAAAUACACGUUUCGUUUUAGCGUUUCGCGCACGUCGAUAUGCAAACGCAUCAGUAAUUCAUGGACUGUAGCUCGUUGCAGAGUUGCAGCAAUAAAGAGAAGAAAACUAGGAAAUUUAUUAGAAAUUUCCGAGCUGUAAUGGGCGAAGAGAUUCCUCAGAGUACUCUUUAAUGCUAUCAAAUAAUAAAACAUUCUUCGCAAUGAUAAAAUCGAUAGACACGUUCUUAUCUCUCCUUCUUAUUUUCCCACUUCUUUUUCAACAUUAUAUUGCUCUUCUUUCAUUUUUCUUUUAGUGAUAAUAUAUUGAUUAUGAAAUUAACGACGAAAGGCUAAAUCUAAUUUAAAAAAAAUUAUCCUAAAGUUCAUUCCGAUAUUUUCUCUUGUUUUCGGAAAUAAAGAUGAUAACACGAAAUAAAAAGUAUCGAGUGAAAAUGAGUGUUUGCAAGACGGCGUGAACUAUAAAGUGAUUUCAAAGUGACAAGUAUUGAACGCGAUCAAACGGCGAGAUUCUGCUUUCAGCUCCGACCUCUCCUUCCAGUUUUGCUUGUUCCGUUGUCAAGAGUAUUGAUAUUUCGCUGAAAACACUCGCAAAGACACGCAACUGACAGCCAAAGCAUGAGAGACGUAUAUUUGUCCCCGACAAAAGAUGUGUCCAAGAGCUGAUCUUAGGACUCGUUCAUGUCACUUGCCGAGUGUCUGAGGAAGAAAAAUAAUAAACGGAAACCGACAAACACGCAGAGGAUGGAAGCAUGAUUCUGAUACCACGGGUCCGGCGAACUCGACGGAAAACUAGAAGAAGAGCGUCUUGAGGUCGAAGAGAGAUAUCAAAGGGAAGGGUGGAAUGACGAGAGAUUGCGGGGCUAUGGAUACCCGCGAGGACGGCGGAGUCGGUCGAUCGCGAGGCUCGAAUCUGUUGACUUAACCGUCUCCAAGGGGAGGCUCUCGGCAUGCGUCCGGUGGAGCCGAACGGGACGUCGUCGUACUUCUGUUUAAGUUACGCAUUACGAGAGAUUACGUUCGCGACAUGACUUCGGCAAAGAGAAUUACCGCGUAUCGUUGACGUCACUCGCGGAAUAUCAAUGUCCUCGAGACGCGAUUCGAAGGAAGACUCGCGCCUUUUGCUAAUGCCAUCGCAGGAGAUUAUUUCGAAUCGGAGUCGAACCCUGAUAUUUUCUGUGGUAUGUACGUGACCCCAACGACGUGGAAAGAAAUUUGCGGCAGUACAGCCUCGAAAAGACCGGGCACCGAAGACAGUACAACUUUGUGUCCCUGGUACGGUACCGUUUCCUGAAGGACGAGGCUAGGUAGUGCGUGCGUAUGUGUGUGUGCGCGCGCGAUUGUGUGAAAGAGGAAAAAAACACGGGGAACUCAAAGAUACCUUUCGUGCGGUGGAUACCUGCGGCUGAGUAUCUCUUCAAAUUGCUUCAAUUGUCUACACCUCGUGCCAGGCGCUUGCGAAUAUCGUACCGGAUCGUGCAAGAUCAGCUGUACGAAUCGGUAUCACACGGUACCGUCGAAGAAUGAAACAGUCUGGCAAAGGAUCGUGAGGAAUAAAAAGAGUGUACGUGUCGAUAGACGAUGACCGACUGGCCGUCGUCGUGGUGGAGAUGACUACCAGGUUAGUGGCUCGUCCCGAAGACGACGACGACGACGACGAGGUCCACGAAGGGGCACGAGACUCGGCCGUGGGCUAUCACUGCCACUGAUAGAGCCGGCAUCUCGUCGCAGCUCACAUCGAUGCCGACUGCCACAUCCACGAAACAAGGAAUGGGGAGUGUCGGCAGCAACGUGACAGGGACGACGACGACAGAUCCGACGACGUUCCUGCCCGACGCAACGCCGACUCUAAGCGAACGCGAACAGGUCAAAAUCGAAUUUUACAAAACGUACGAUGUUAUGACGGGGGUGCGGAUCGCCGCGACCCUCGGUGGCUUUUUCAGCUUAAUGGUGUUGCUGGUAGUUUACAAGAGCAGAUGCAAAGCGAGUAAACAACUGGAAGACCCGGCUUUGACCGCGGCGGCAGCCGCGGCGGUCGCGGAAGCUGAAGCUGAGGAACGCGCGCUCGCCGCCGCUCUCGAAGCGAUCGCCAGGUUACCACCCAGGCCGGGACGUGGUCCGAGAAGAUCAUUGUGCGUCGAGAUGAACCAGUCUCAUUUACCCGCGGUGGCACCUCGCUUCGCCUCGGUCGGAGGUGGAUACGACGCCCUGCUGGCACCGCCAAUCAGGCAACCGAGGUUGGCUCCCCCGGUCGAUUACAGAAGAUGCAGCUCGGUCACCUGUAGCAGCACUGGAAGCAGUUAUCUGGAACGAAGGGGUUCAGCCAUGGUAAUGCCGUGCCUUCCGCCUCCUCCAUCUUACCCGCGUCACGCCGCCUACGAUGAGCCAUGGGAUUUAUAUUACCCUAUCGAUAUCCAGGUAAUACAGCCAACUCCAGAUUUAUCGCCAUGCGGUAGCGAGGUCGGUCUUUAUGCCGGUGCAGUCGGUAGCCUUAUGGCGGCGUCGUCGGGUAGAAGAGCGCCGUUGGCAUCGAUGGGUAGCGUGGAUCCCCCCGAUCCGGACACCAGGUCGCUCGGCUCCGAUUCCGUCUUCCUGAAGAACGAGGACGAGGACCAGUGCAUCGACACUGAGGACGAAGUCUCGGGUUUUUCCACGGACUCGGACGCGCCUGGGCCAAGCUGUCGGCGGUUCCUACGGGUGCCUUCUAGGAAAAAGCGGAUCCCCGAGAAAUGGGACGGAUGCGCGGGCUGCGUGCCCAGGCGACGGAUCGGUAGUAAACCCUGCCAAGAAUGUAUGACCAUCAGUGCCGCCGUCGAAACCUCCAGGUCGCAACCAGCCUCAACGACAACCAGUAGCAGUCAGAGUAGCGUGGGAUCUCCACCGUGUUCACCGCCGAUCGAGCUGAGGCACAGACCACCACCAACGCCAUUACCAUCAAUCCCGCCAAUAUGGUCCCAAGAAACGCUCUUUUAGGAUGCGUUUUUCGUAGUGAGCAUGUCCUUUGACCUGUUUUUAUCGAGAUACAAAGCUAAAUCCAGAAUGUCUGAGGAAAUCAUUUGCUCGAAAAAUUGAACAUUAUCUGAUCUUUGACCGCCUUUAUACCACUAGAAAAUAAUUUCUUUUUUUUCUUGGAGCCUGUCGCCAUUAAAAUAUAUUUUACGUGCAUUUGAAGGUUUAAUCGCGCGUUAUAUAUCGGUGAAUUCAAUUAUAAUUCACGGAUACAACAAUUGUCGCGUAUGAAAUUGUUAAAAAUAUUUUUAAAAAAUUUAAAUUUUUAUGUAACGAAAAUAAAAGCAAACAAAAUUAUAUCAUCGGAUAUCAUAAUCUUUACGAAUGGCAAGAAUAAAGAAAAGCUACAUAAAGUUAACCGAUGAAGGAAAAGGGAGAAAAUCUUACAUAGCGAGACGGGAGAAGAAGAACGAAAGCUCGGAAAGUAUUUUCCGAGUGCGGGGAAAUAUCGGAGAUUUUCGAUAUUACGGCGGUGACUCCUGUCCGCCGGAACCGGAGCAAACCCAUCUUAAGGUCUAAAUCGAAGGCUUUUUACGUCGACAGUGUAGUAGACUCCAUGACAAGCACGGAACUCGGGUCGGGUUACCCGCUCGUUUAAAAGACGCGUUCUACGACCCGCGAGACGCGAGACGAGGCCGACGACGACUUAGUCUAACUAUACCUGAGAUCUCAUCUAACGACGUAUUUCAGUCGUCUGCCUGCUCCGUCAUGCUUCAGAAUUAGUUUGCGAACAAUGCAUACGCGCGCGUGGUCGAGUUAUCUGAAAGUUUACAUAACUGCAUUGCGAAUAUACCCACCAGCAUCCCGAGAAAGUGCGCGCAAUUUAUCUGACAUGCCUCGUAUCCUCCUCGACGAAUCUCUUCGUACGAGCAGGCGCACAUCGACAUUAUCCGUGAUCCAUUUAACAACGAAAGCAAGCAAAUGCACUUCCUCGCUUAAGACAUUCGUGGCGUCCUAAUUGGCGUUCGUGAUGCCGUUCAAGAUCGUGAGAUCUCGAGCGGCCGAACUUUGGGAUAAGGACGCAUGGUGAUCUAUAUCGCACAAAGGAACAUCCGAGAAACGAGAAACUCGUUCCGAUCGAUCAGGGUGAACCCGCGUAUAACUCGCAACUCAGGAGACUGUCGAAGGAAGGCCGAUCGACAAUGUCAAGGGGGAAAUAGGGAAUUAUUUUUAUACAAGCGCGACGAUAAUCAAGCUCGUUGAACUGAUCGUGAUGCUUCUCGUGAAAACAAUAAUACGCUCGCAAUACUCGAUUGUAUGAUGUCAGUGUAAUAAUGUGAUUGUCAACGAGACGAGCGGAUGGGAGAGUGAAAUAGAAAGAAAAAAGAGAGAGAGAAAUCUGAGAGUGAAAGAGAGAGAGAGAGAGAGAGAAAGAGAGAAACGGGGGAAACAGCAUUUCGUUCGGACAAUCGAACCGGUUUUUCCUGUCACGAUUUUCCCGGCAGGGCAAACCGCCGAUUCGCCGUCGAUCCGACACGUUUCUCCUCGCGCGAGGAAACAAAACGUAUUUCUAUUCGUGUAAUCUUGUAAGCUCUGUAAGGUUUUGGAUGUACGUGUACGUGUCUAUAAUCCUCUUGCGUACGAUAGAUAAAACACCGUGCUCGAUGGAGGGGAACCGGAAACAGGGCGAUUGCCGUAAAUGGUCUCAACGAACCAAAGUUGGCCAAGUUCCCUGAUCGCUGUACUUGCGAGAUGGUCCAUUUUAUCGGUAGCUCCGCUAAGUUGUUUGGUAAAUUUCUAUCCGAGUGGGAAUAUCGAUCGAUAGGAUAUAUUCCAUGGACCCAGAAAUCCCCACAAUCAGGUCUGUAUUUGAUCUAAAGAAAAAGUAAGAAAUAGAUAAAAGAGAAAUAAGAGCGAGAUUAUACGAAAUUGUUUUAGUUCUUUACGUCCCCGUCAAAUUCAGUGAUAUUAGCUGACGAGAAGCUCGCUGGGUGUAGAAAAUCGAAUUUAUUAAAAUAUUAGAGCGCGUCGGUGUAAAGAAACAAAAAAGAGACAUGUAGUAGACGAGAUAUUUAUUGUUGACAAGUUGCAACUUGUGUCUAUUUUCGAUAAAAGAUAAAACGUAGUUCAACCAGGCGAGCCAUAUAUGCCUCUAUAUCUACAUCUGGAGACUUUUCCGCGGAGGCUAACAUCACUGCCGGUCAGCCCCUCCAGGCACACGACGAUAAACGAAUAAGAAAAUAAAAGCAGAAAAUACAGUAAAACACAUUUACGUAAAAGCAAAAACGAGCGCACGAGGACUACCGUUAUUCUAGCCAAGAGUUUGUACAGUAGACAAAUAAGCAAGCCGAGAAGUUAUUAUAUCGGGAUAAAAAAAAAA